GUCCGCGUUUCAGUUUUUUCCCCAGUCCGGUCAUUGUAUUGUCUGUCUACGUUUUGGCUUAAAUUAUGCACCGUUAAACCCCGUAUUCCCUGAUUUACAGUCCCCGCUCGUGCUUCGCUGGAUCAAUGCACGACAGGAGUGAUACCUGAUCACGAAGUCAGUGGAUACCUUUCUCUUUCAAGUGGGGGGAAAAAUAUCAGAAAUCCCUUGUUGCAGAUCAGCAUCGGCGGAUGAGGAGGCCUAGGAAUGAUUCCCUGGCUAAAGCAGGGGGAGACGUACGAACUGCAUAAAGCUACAUAAUCUGUACGGUGCCCGCUGCCCUGUUCUCUGCUCUUCCUGGGCCCAGCUCCGCACUCACCACAGCCCGGUACUGGAUCAGUGGUUAUGAUGGAUGAGUGGUUGGACAAACUCAACGGAAAGUCCCAGGCCUGUGAAAUGCUCUGCCGAUUUCACUUUGAAAGCAAGAGGACUGAACAAAGAUACACGAUACGAGAAAUUCAGCACUGAGUGAAAAAUGAUUUUAGGACCCUAUAUGGCUGAAAAAAAGGCUGAGUGAUGUUGCAAGUUAGUUAUUUUUAAUGUAUGCAGAUAAAGUCUUAUUUAAUAUUUACCUUGGUGACAAUAUCCUCAAUGUUCAUUCACGUGCACCUGGACUACUGGGAGGUGUGGCUUUUCUGAGGGCCUGUUUCAGCUGAGGACCCUGGGCUUCAGUCCAGGUAAAACAUUGCAUUAAAGUGCCCCAGCUCAUCUGCAAGCACUCAAGAAUUCAAAAGCUUUAUUACACAAACACACAUACUGGCUUGCACACCUACAUGCCGAAAACCUACUAUAAUGAUGAAGAGCAAUAAAUAGCAAAAAUCGAAAUAGUGAGAACAUUACUGUUCAUACAGUGUACAUAACAUACACUAUACAUAUGAUAUACGACCGAAACUCAACAGCUGUUAUACGUAUGGCACAGUGGUGCAGGGCUGAGCACUAUUGCUUCACACAUCUGGGACCAGGGUUCGAGUCUCUGCCGUUCUAGAAUUUGAAUGUUCUACCCUGUCUCAUUGUGGGUUUUCACAGUCCAUUUUGCACCAAAUUUAACAUAUGCUGUGGUUAAUUGGAGUUACCAAAUUGCCUGUAGGUGUGUGAGUGUGCCCUGUGAUGGGUUGGUGUCCCGUGUGUGUGUGUGUGUGUGUGUGUGUAUAUAUAUGUGUA